UGCCUAUACUGCAAGUCGAACGAGCUUCCGUUGAUUGAGGUGCUUGCACUGAUUUCAACACCGAAGCGAGUGGCGAACUGGUGAGUAACACGUGGGAAAUCUGCCCAGAAGCAGGGGAUAACACUUGGAAACAGGUGCUAAUACCGCAUAACAACAAGAACCGCAUGGUUCUUGUUUGAAAGGUGGCUUCGGCUAUCACUUCUGGAUGAUCCCGCGGCGUAUUAGUUAGUUGGUGAGGUAAAGGCCCACCAAGACAAUGAUACGUAGCCGACCUGAGAGGGUAAUCGGCCACAUUGGGACUGAGACACGGCCCAAACUCCUACGGGAGGCAGCAGUAGGGAAUCUUCCACAAUGGACGAAAGUCUGAUGGAGCAAUGCCGCGUGAGUGAAGAAGGGUUUCGGCUCGUAAAACUCUGUUGUUAAAGAAGAACACUUCUGAGAGUAACUGUUCAGAAGUUGACGGUAUUUAACCAGAAAGCCACGGCUAACUACGUGCCAGCAGCCGCGGUAAUACGUAGGUGGCAAGCGUUGUCCGGAUUUAUUGGGCGUAAAGCGAGCGCAGGCGGUUUUUUAAGUCUGAUGUGAAAGCCUUCGGCUUAACCGGAGAAGUGCAUCGGAAACUGGGAAACUUGAGUGCAGAAGAGGACAGUGGAACUCCAUGUGUAGCGGUGGAAUGCGUAGAUAUAUGGAAGAACACCAGUGGCGAAGGCGGCUGUCUAGUCUGUAACUGACGCUGAGGCUCGAAAGCAUGGGUAGCGAACAGGAUUAGAUACCCUGGUAGUCCAUGCCGUAAACGAUGAGUGCUAGGUGUUGGAGGGUUUCCGCCCUUCAGUGCCGCAGCUAACGCAUUAAGCACUCCGCCUGGGGAGUACGACCGCAGGGUUGAAACUCAAAGGAAUUGACGGGGGCCCGCACAAGCGGUGGAGCAUGUGGUUUAAUUCGAAGCUACGCGAAGAA
rnacentral:rRNA from 1 species